ACCUGCGCAGCUUCUCUGUGACCUUCUCCAGCUCCUCCUGCGCGCGGCGCAGCUCGAUCUCCAGGGGAGUUGACGCAGACACGGGAUGGACGUCUGGGGACAGAUGCGGAGACACCGAGGAGCCGGGGAGACAACAGGUGUGUUACCUGUCCCAGAGCGAGGGCGAGGACCUGGCCAGCCGGCCCUGCAGGACGCGGGGCUGCCCAAGGCACGAGGGCACCCAAGGGCUGCGCAGCCUGUGGGCGGAGAGGACAGAGCUGCUCAGAGCGGGGACCUGGGCUGCGCUGGGCCCGCCAGGGCAUGUGGUCUCGGAGAGCUGGGGGGUCGCCCCCCCUGGUGGGAGAAGUCCCUGUUAUCGGGGGGUGGGGGUGGGAGUGUAGGAAGCAGGGAGGGGCUCCCAGCCGUGCACCUGCCUGAGCUCACCGGUGGCACCGAGUCCCACCAGUGGAAGGGUCCCCACCUACAGGCCUUCACCCGUCAUCUCGGCCUCAGAAGGGAGUCCUGGUGGGCAGGCACCCCCCAGCUCCAGACCCCUGCUGUCUGGCUACCGUUCCUUUCUUGCGGGACCCAUUGGUCAGAGAGCCUGGGAGGUGGAUGGAGGGACAGUGUGAUCCUAGCCCCAACCUCUGUAGGAAGGUUGUGAUGUGCUGAUGUGUGUGGACAGUUGGUGGGGUGUCCUGGAGGCUGUGGGACCUAGUGGAUGUUAGGGGUCCAGGACAGGACCCGUCCUGCGACCCCUUCUCACCAGUUCUGCUCAUGGCCUGUCUGCACUGGGCGGUGGGUGGGACGGACGGGUGUGGCCCGACCCAGCCCCACAGCGCUGCCCUGCUGAGGGGCAAAGAGAUAUACAUCAGCACUGUAGCCACGCGUCCGCUUGGUCAUCACCCCUCCCUGGGGUCUCUCCAGGGACACUCCCAGUGGCCUUGCUGGCCCUGGAGCCAAAGCGGAAAUCUGAUGGGAGGAUGCUGCCCCAGACGUCAGGCUUCCAGAGAACACCUAGCGAGCGACACGGUCGAGCGUGUGUGUGAAGAGGAAGAGCAGCACAACCCCACUUACAAAAUAACUGCAUAGCGAUGGCCCCGCAAAACCACGGAAGGAAAAGAAAUGUUCAUGUUAUUACGGGUGGGUGGUGAGAUUCUAGGCAAUUAAAAUGUUUUCUUUUA